AGUGAACGCUGGCGGUAGGCCUAACACAUGCAAGUCGAACGGCAGCACAGUAAGAGCUUGCUCCUACGGGUGGCGAGUGGCGGACGGGUGAGGAAUACAUCGGAAUCUACUUUUUCGUGGGGGAUAACGUGGGGAAACUUACGCUAAUACCGCAUACGACCUACGGGUGAAAGCAGGGGAUCUUCGGACCUUGCGCGAUUGAAUGAGCCGAUGUCGGAUUAGCUAGUUGGCGGGGUAAAGGCCCACCAAGGCGACGAUCCGUAGCUGGUCUGAGAGGAUGAUCAGCCACACUGGAACUGAGACACGGUCCAGACUCCUACGGGAGGCAGCAGUGGGGAAUAUUGGACAAUGGGCGCAAGCCUGAUCCAGCCAUACCGCGUGGGUGAAGAAGGCCUUCGGGUUGUAAAGCCCUUUUGUUGGGAAAGAAAAGCAGCAGGUUAAUACCCCGCUGUUCUGACGGUACCCAAAGAAUAAGCACCGGCUAACUUCGUG
rnacentral:rRNA from 1 species